CCCGCAACGAGCGCAACCCUUAUCAUUAAUUGCAGCGCAACCCUUAUCAUUAAUUGCUAUCAUUUAUUUGAGCACUUUAAUGAGACUGCCGGUGACAAACCGGAGGAAGGUGGGGAUGACGUCAAGUCCUCAUGGCCCUUAUGGGUAGGGCUUCACACGUAAUACAAUGGAGUGUACAGAGGGUAGCCAACCCGCGAGGGGGAGCCAAUCUCACAAAGCACUUCGUAGUCCGGAUCGGAGUCUGCAACUCGACUCCGUGAAGUCGGAAUCGCUAGUAAUCGCGGAUCAGCAUGUCGCGGUGAAUACGUUCCCGAGUCUUGUACACACCGCCCGUCACACCAUGGGAGUGGUUUUCACCAGAAGCUGGUAGCUUAACCGUAAGGAGGGCGCCUGCCACGGUGAGAGUCAUGACUGGGGUG
rnacentral:rRNA from 1 species